AACUUAUACAGUCUAUGGUUACAAACCAGUGUGUUUAAGAUUAUGACAGUAAAUUUAAAAUAUAAGAAGUAAUGUUAUCAGUUAUAAACAGCACAACGGACUGUUACACCGGAAGUGUCACAAAUUCAAAUUAACUUGAAUACAAACGGCCGCUGUGCUUGUCCGUUAAAAACAAGACGAGUUCCUGUCCGAGAAAGAAAAUAAUUGGGAGGUUCUUGGUCUGUAUAAGUUAGCUCAUCAGAACAGACCUGCGCUCCAUCAGUUGAGAUCCAGUGCUCAGAGUCUAAGAUAACAACAGACAGUUGAGGGGGGAUGAAUUACAUGACUAACCUACGUACAGCUGAAUCAAGGUCAGUUUUGGAUAUGUGAGCCCUGUGCUCCUUGAACACCUAAACCGUGUGGUGCAUCAGUGAGCAACAUAUGCUUUAUUUGUGGACGUCAG
rnacentral:lncRNA from 1 species